UACGUAGGGCGCAAGCGUUGUCCGGAAUUAUUGGGCGUAAAGAGCUCGUAGGCGGUUUGUCGCGUCUGCUGUGAAAUCCCGAGGCUCAACCUCGGGCUUGCAGUGGGUACGGGCAGACUAGAGUGCGGUAGGGGAGACUGGAAUUCCUGGUGUAGCGGUGGAAUGCGCAGAUAUCAGGAGGAACACCAAUGGCGAAGGCAGCACUCUGGGACGUGACUGACGCUGAGACGCGAAAGCGUGGGGAGCAAACAGG
rnacentral:rRNA from 1 species